AUUGAACGCUGGCGGCAGGCCUAACACAUGCAAGUCGAGCGAGCGGCGGACGGGUGAGUAAUGUAUGGGGACUGCCCGAUAGAGGGGGAUAACCACUGGAAACGGUGGCUAAUACCGCAUACUAUCGGAUAACCCAUAUGGGAUUAGCUAGUAGGUGGGGUAAAGGCUCACCUAGGAGACGAUCUCUAGCUGGUCUGAGAGGAUGAUGAUGAACACUGGGACUGAGACACGGCCCAGACUCCGACGGAGGCAGAAGGGGGGAAUAUUGCACAAUGGUAGCUAGCCGUAUGCAGCCAUGCCGCGUGUAAGAAGAAGGCCUUAGGGUUGUAAGGUACUUUCAGCGGGGAGGCGUUGCCCGCAGAAGAAGCACCGGCUAACUCCGUGCCAGCAGCCGCGGUAAUUC
rnacentral:rRNA from 1 species